UACGGGGGGGGCAAGCGUUGUUCGGAAUUACUGGGCGUAAAGGGCUCGUAGGCGGCCAACUAAGUCAGACGUGAAAUCCCUCGGCUUAACCGGGGAACUGCGUCUGAUACUGGAUGGCUUGAGUUUGGGAGAGGGAUGCGGAAUUCCAGGUGUAGCGGUGAAAUGCGUAGAUAUCUGGAGGAACACCGGUGGCGAAGGCGGCAUCCUGGACCAACACUGACGCUGAUGAGCGAAAGCGUGGGUAGCAAACAGG
rnacentral:rRNA from 1 species